GAUAAACGCUAGCGGCAGGCCUAACACAUGCAAGUUGAACGAACUCUUCGGAGUUAGUGGCGGACGGGUGAGUAACACGUGGGAACGUGCCUUUAGGUUCGGAAUAACUCAGGGAAACUUGUGCUAAUACCGAAUGUGCCCUUCGGGGGAAAGAUUUAUCGCCUUUAGAGCGGCCCGCGUCUGAUUAGCUAGUUGGUUGGGGUAAUGGCCCACCAAGGCGACGAUCAGUAGCUGGUCUGAGAGGAUGACCAGCCACAUUGGGACUGAGACACGGCCCAAACUCCUACGGGAGGCAGCAGUGGGGAAUCUUGCGCAAUGGGCGAAAGCCUGACGCAGCCAUGCCGCGUGUAUGAUGAAGGUCUUAGGAUUGUAAAAUUCUUUCACCGGGGACGAUAAUGACGGUACCCGGAGAAGAAGCCCCGGCUAACUUCGUGCCAGCCGCCGCAGUAACAC
rnacentral:rRNA from 1 species